AUUGAACGCUGGCGGUAUGCCUUACACAUGCAAGUCGAACGGCAGCACGGGUGCUUGCACCUGGUGGCGAGUGGCGAACGGGUGAGUAAUACAUCGGAACGUACCUUAUCGUGGGGGAUAACGCAGCGAAAGCUGUGCUAAUACCGCAUACGCCCUGAGGGGGAACGCGGCGGAUCGCAAGACCUCGCGCGAUUAGAGCGGCCGAUGCCUGAUUAGCUUGUUGGUGGGGUAAAAGCCCACCAAGGCGACGAUCAGUAGCUGGUCUGAGAGGACGAUCAGCCACACUGGGACUGAGACACGGCCCAGACUCCUACGGGAGGCAGCAGUGGGGAAUUUUGGACAAUGGGGGCAACCCUGAUCCAGCAAUGCCGCGUGAGUGAAGAAGGCCUUCGGGUUGUAAAGCUCUUUUGUCAGGGAAGAAACACCGGCUCUAACACAGUCCGGGAAUGACGGUACCUGAAGAAUAAGCACCGGCUAACUACGUGCCAGCAGCCGCCGUAA
rnacentral:rRNA from 1 species